CUUUUCAGGUAACGUCGAAUUUCGUCGAGGAGGAUCAAAAGGACGAAAAAGAGGCAAACAGAAGUUGAAGAAAUAGCAGAAAGGGAAGACUACGUGCGGUGAGAAGUCUACGGAGUCUGUCCGCCGGUUUUCAGUAUCAGUCGUGAAGGUUGGCGAAGACACAGGUUUGUGACCGUGUAUAAAGAAGUGUGCAGCCCAUUCAGAGCAAACACAGCGUAAGAAUGUGGAGAUUUUGUCUGCAUGAAUUUUGAAUAUAUCUUGUAGGAACUGGGUUAUGAUAAUUAAGGAGAGUUGGGAAUAAACAGAUAGACAGAUAAAGAGACAUGUCAGGUCAGUAAAUCUGAGACAGAAAGAUAUCAGAAAAGUAUCAGAUCGGGAAUGUUACGUGACUGAGACGGAGACUAGUCAUGUAGGCGGGCAGUCCGAAACAGCCAAAGAGAAAUCGACUUUGCAAAUUGAUCCACAGCCACCGAGACCGAUAGACCGAGAGGAGGUGUGAGCUCCGAGAUGAAUUGUGGCAGUUGCCAUGGCAGCAGCCUCUGUGUAAUUCACCCGCGAGUGAAGAAGAACUGGUGAUCAAUCCACAAGAUCGAAGAUGAGUCAUUAGCGGAGUUUGAGACUCG